rnacentral:rRNA from 1 species
GACGAACGCUGGCGGCGUGCUUAACACAUGCAAGUCGAGCGAUGAAGCACCUUCGGGUGUGGAUUAGCGGCGAACGGGUGAGGAACACGUGAGGAAUCUGCCUUCCACUCUGGGAUAACUCCGGGAAACCGGGGCUAAUACCGGAUAUUUUCAACUGGCGGCAUCGCCGGUUGAAGAAAGUUUUUCGGUGGAAGAUGACCUCGCGGCCUAUCAGCUUGUUGGUGAGGUAAAGGCUCACCAAGGCGACGACGGGUAGCCGGCCUGAGAGGGUGGACGGCCACACUGGGACUGAGACACGGCCCAGACUCCUACGGGAGGCAGCAGUGGGGAGUAUUGGGCAAUGGAGGAAACUCUGACCCAGCGACGCCGCGUGAGGGAUGAAGGCCUUCGGGUUGUAAACCUCUUUCAGCAGGGAAUAAGCGAAAGUGAAGGUACCUGCAGAAGAAGCACCGGCUAACUAUGUGCCAGCCGCCGCCGUAACAC